CAAUUCAUAGGUUUUUAGUAUACUCAGAGCUGUGCAACCACCACAACUGGUCAACUGAUUUCCCUUUCUUUAGAAUAAUAAAAUGAGGAUAAUAGACAGAACGCUGGUAAGGUCAGCAAAUAAAAAGACUAUGGGGCAUAGAGAAGGAAGAUCCUGCCAGAAGGGGAGCUGGACUUUGUACUGACUUCCUAACUCUGUGCAGGAUAUUAGCUAUAAUUACAUAAAUAACAUUUUAAAGGAAAUUUUGUGCAUGUCAAACUGUGGAAAGCUAGCCAUGGUGAAGGAAGUUCCCUAUGCUAAACUCAAGAUGAAACUUGGACAGUAUUUUUUUUCAGAUGGAAAAGGAUAGCUUUUUCCAAAACUGUAGAUUCUCUGAUACGACGGUAACAAUUGACAAAUGGAUAUACUCUUAAAGCUUAGCUGAGAUGCUGAAUAUGGAAUCAACACACUAAAUUUUUUCAUACUCUGUUAUAUUAAAAUGCUCUGAUCUUGAUUUUUUCAUUGUGUUAGUUUUAGGGGUACAACAUAAUGAUUUGAUAUAUGUAUUGAUUGCAAAAUGAUUACCACAAGUUUGAUUAACAUCAUCACCACCCAUAAUUACAAACUUUGUGUGUAUGUGUGAUGAACUGCUAAGAUCUACUUCUGGCAUCUUUGAAAUAUAUAAUACGGCAUUGUAAACUACAGUCACUAUGCUGUACAUUGUAUCUCCUGGACUUACUUCUCUUAUAAUUGGAAGUUUGUCCUUUUUGACUAUCUUCACCAAUUUUGCGUACCUUCCCCACACCCUAUCCCCAGCAAGCAUCCAUCUGUUUUCUGUAUCUAUGAAUUUUAAGAUUCCUCAUAUAAAUGAUAUCUUACAGUAUUUGUCAUUCUCUGCAUGACUUAUUUCACUUAGCAUAAUGCCCUUACAGUCCAUCUAUGUUGCCAUAAAUAUUUUCUCUACCCAUUCAUACAUUGAUGUGUACAGUCAGGUUGUUUCCAUGUCUUGGCCAUUGUAGAUAUGUUGCAAUGAACAUGAGGAUGCUAUAUAUUUU